GACGAACGCUGGCGGUGCGCCUAAUACAUGCAAGUCGAACGGUGAACGGGGCUUCGGCCCCGGGAUCAGUGGCGAACGGGUGCGUACCACGUGGGCAACCUGCCCCUCACUCUGGGAUAACCCCGGGAAACCGGAGCUAAUACCGGAUACUCCGACCGAUCCGCAUGCUUCGGUCGGGAAAGGUCCGCCGGUGAGGGAUGGGCCCGCGGCCUAUCAGCUCGUUGGUGAGGUAACGGCUCACCAAGGCUUCGACGGGUAGCUGGUCUGAGAGGACGGCCAGCCACACUGGGACUGAGAUACGGCCCAGACUCCUACGGGAGGCAGCAGUAGGGAAUCUUGCGCAAUGGGCGAAAGUCUGACGCAGCGACACCGCGUGAGGGACGAAGGCCCUCGGGUUGUAAACCUCUUUCGGCAGGGACGAAGCGAUCGUGACGGUACCUGCAGAAGAAGCUCCGGCUAACUACGUGCCAGCCGCCGCAGUAAUAC
rnacentral:rRNA from 1 species